AAAAAGGCUUUGAAGAGGAAUAGUAAAAAUAUGAUUCUUUAUAGAGAGGAAACGGUAGGUGGAAGUUUCUAAGAUAGUGUUUUGAACCAGCCUUGGAGUUCUGUACUGAAAAGAUUUUAGUAGGAUACAGCGGUUUUCCACGUUAUAGGAAAUUAGAGAGAAUAUAAGACAUUAUUGUUUUAUAUUAAUUAGGGUGGUAACGCCGAGAAUGGUCCCUUUU
rnacentral:ncRNA from 1 species